rnacentral:rRNA from 1 species
GACGAACGCUGGCGGCGUGCUUAGCACAUGCAAGUCGAACGGAAAGGCCCUGCUUUUGUGGGGUGCUCGAGUGGCGAACGGGUGAGUAACACGUGAGUAACCUGCCCUUGACUUUGGGAUAACUUCAGGAAACUGGGGCUAAUACCGGAUAGGAGCUCCUGCUGCAUGGUGGGGGUUGGAAAGUUUCGGCGGUUGGGGAUGGACUCGCGGCUUAUCAGCUUGUUGGUGGGGUAGUGGCUUACCAAGGCUUUGACGGGUAGCCGGCCUGGGAGGGUGGCCGGCCACAUUGCGACUGCGAGAGGGACCAGACUCCUACGGGACGCAGCAGUGGAAAGUAUUGCGCAGUGGGCGGAAGCCUGAUGCAGCGACGCCGCGUGCGGGAUGACGGCCUUCUGGUUGUAAACCACUUUCGACUGUGACGAAGCGUGAGUGACGGUAAUGGGUAAAGAAGCACCGGCUAACUACGUG